GUCAUGGGGGAGGUGGUGGCGCUUGGUGGCUACUGGCGGCCGAGGUAGAGGCAGUGGCGCUGGAGUUGGUUGGGGGCAGCGUCAGAUUUGGAGCUUCAGCAACUUCUUCCAGGGAGGAGGUCCGGUGUGGCUCCUGUUCCAACCUGCGAUCUUGAUUCACAUCCAUAGAUUGGAAUAUUGGUGCACACGCCAUCCUCAGACACCUCACUAAGGACAGAGUAUGAUGCUGAAAAUAAGAUGCCUAAACAGGAAGAGGAGAAAUAGAUUUUGAACUUUCUUUUGUAUCAAUGAAGCAGCAAACUGAAAAAUGGAGACAAAAAUUUAUAAACAAGGUACAAAAUAAG
rnacentral:lncRNA from 1 species